CCCCAAGAGCUCACAUCGACGGGGAGGUUUGGGACCUCGAUGUCGGCUCAUCGCAUCCUGGGGCUGGAGCAGGUCCCAAGGGUAUGGCUGUUCGCCAUUUAAAGCGGUACGCGAGCUGGGUUCAGAACGUCGUCAGACAGUUCGGUCCCUAUCUGCCGUGGGCGUAAGAAGAUUGAAGAGAUUUGACCCUAGUACGAGAGGACCGGGUUGAACAAACCACUGGUGUAGCUGUUGUUCUGCCAAGAGCAUCGCAGCGUAGCUAAGUUUGGAAAGGAUAAACGCUGAAAGCAUCUAAGCGUGAAGCCAACUCUAAGAUGAAUCUUCUCUAAGCUCUCUAGAAGACUACUAGUUUGAUAGGCUGGGUGUGUAAUGGAUGAAAGUCCUUUAGCUGACCAGUACUAAUAGAGCGUUUGGCUUAUCUUU
rnacentral:rRNA from 1 species